rnacentral:rRNA from 2 species
GACAGUGCGAUAGGGGGAUCCCAAGGGCACAGGCAUAGCGCCUGUGCUUUUCGGUACCCUAAGGCGGUACCAGAAUAAGGGCUGGGCAAGACCGGUGCCAGCCGCCGCGGUAAUACCGGCAGCCCAAGUGAUGGCCGAUCUUAUUGGGCCUAAAGCGUCCGUAGCUGGCCACGCAAGUCCAUCGGGAAAUCCACCUGCCCAACAGGUGGACGCCCGGUAGAAACUGCGUGGCUUGGGACCGGAAGGCGCGACGGGUACGUCCGGGGUAGGAGUGAAAUCCCGUAAUCCUGGACGGACCGCCGAUGGCGAAAGCACGUCGCGAGAACGGAUCCGACAGUGAGGGACGAAAGCCAGGGUCUCGAACCGGAUUAGAUACCCGGGUAGUCCUGGCCGUAAACAAUGUCUGCUAGGUGUGGCUCCCACUACGAGUGGGUGCUGUGCCGCAGGGAAGCCGCUAAGCAGACCGCCUGGGAAGUACGUCCGCAAGGAUGAAACUUAAAGGAAUUGGCGGGGGAGCACA